rnacentral:tRNA from 1 species
GGGUGAUUAGCUCAGCUGGGNNGAGGGGGUCGGCGGUUCGAUACCGUCAUCACCCACCA